GUGCCAGCCGCCGCGGUAAAACGUAGGAGGCUAGCGUUAUCCGGAUUUAUUGGGCGUAAAGCGCGUGCAGGCGGUUUAUCAAGUUGGAUGUGAAAGCUCCCGGCUUAACUGGGAGAGGUCGUUCAAAACUGAUAGACUAGAGAAUGGUAGAGGGAGGUGGAAUUCCGGGUGUAGUGGUGAAAUGCGUAGAUAUCCGGAGGAACACCAGUGGCGAAAGCGGCCUCCUGGGCCAUUUCUGACGCUAAGACGC
rnacentral:rRNA from 1 species